rnacentral:rRNA from 1 species
AGAGUUUGAUCAUGGCUCAGAACGAACGCUGGCGGCAUGCCUAACACAUGCAAGUCGAACGCUCUUGGGGCUUCGGUCUCAAGGGAGUGGCGCACGGGUGAGUAGCGCGUGGGAACCUGCCCUCUUGUGGGGGAUAACCGAGGGAAACUUCGGCUAAUACCGCAUGCGCCCCGGGGAAACCCGGGGGAAAGAUUUAUCGCAGGAGGAGGGGCCCGCGUCGGAUUAGCUGGUUGGUGGGGUAACGGCUCACCAAGGCGAUGAUCCGUAGCUGGUCUGAGAGGAUGAUCAGCCACACUGGGACUGAGACACGGCCCAGACUCCUACGGGAGGCAGCAGUGGGGAAUAUUGGAUAAUGGGGGCAACCCUGAUCCAGCAAUGCCGCGUGAGUGAUGAAGGCCUUCGGGUUGUAAAGCUCUUUCGCCCGCGACGAUGAUGACGGUAGCGGGAGAAGAAGCCCCGGCUAACUUCGUGCCAGCAGCCGCGGUA